UUUUUUUAAUAUACUUGAUAUGUUUUGUUUUAAAAAAUACUUGGUUCUUUUGUUGCAAUGCUUGACUUUUGCGCUAUUACUUUGAGUAUAUUUGGUGUUUUAUAAUUGAAAAAAUAAUCACGUUUGAUCUUUGUAGAUUCAUCCCAGUGUAUAUUUUCAAAAUAUCAAGUUAUAAUUUUAUUAUUGACAACUAAAGAUGUGAAUGAUUGAUGAUUUGCAUUGGGAAGCGUGAAAAUAGGACAAUUGCAAUUUAAAAAACACUGAGGAAGUGAAGUUGCUAUUUUAAUAAGUGAGAACUGAGAAGGGACACUGAAAAAAGAAUUCAUGAGCUUAGCAUCUCUUUUAUAUAUGGCUUUAAAUGCCAUCUCUUUUCCUUGGGGGUAAUAUUUGUUGUCUUGUAUGCAGCAUUGCAGGAAGUCUUGGUGAAUAUGGGUUUGCAGACACAGUGCUGGUCAUAUCUACCUGCGUUUUGACAGCAAGGAAGCUGCGAUGAAUGCCCAGCGUGGAAUGCAUACGAGGUGGUUUGGUCGUAGGUUGAUAUCAGCCAGCUACAUGCAACCUCAAAAAUAUGAAGCUAUGUUUGUAGAUGUUUAUACUUGAAGAUUGCAGCAACCUCAUGGAUUCUGUCCGAGCGAUAAUUAAUCUGUACUCCGUAUUUUGUAGUGGUUGGAUUUUUUUAGAUUAUCACAGUUACUUCUAUGUAAUAUUAUUGCCAUUUAGCAGUUUA